rnacentral:rRNA from 1 species
UACGUAGGGUGCGAGCGUUGUCCGGAAUUACUGGGCGUAAAGAGCUCGUAGGUGGUUUGUCGCGUUGUUCGUGAAAACUCACAGCUCAACUGUGGGCGUGCGGGCGAUACGGGCAGACUGGAGUACUGCAGGGGAGACUGGAAUUCCUGGUGUAGCGGUGGAAUGCGCAGAUAUCAGGAGGAACCCCGGGGGGGAAGGGGGGUCUCUGGACCGCCACUGACGCUGAGACACGAAAGCGUGGGUAGCAAACAGG